CAGUAGCCGCGGUAACACGUAGGUGGCAAGCGUUGUCCGGAAUUAUUGGGCGUAAAGGGCUCGCAGGCGGUUUCUUAAGUCUGAUGUGAAAGCCCCCGGCUCAACCGGGGAGGGUCAUUGGAAACUGGGAAACUUGAGUGCAGAAGAGGAGAGUGGAAUUCCACGUGUAGCGGUGAAAUGCGUAGAGAUGUGGAGGAACACCAGUGGCGAAGGCGACUCUCUGGUCUGUAACUGACGCUGAGGAGCGAAAGCGUGGGGAGCGAACAGGAUUAGAGACCCCCGUAGUCCCUGUCUCUUAUAC
rnacentral:rRNA from 1 species